CUACGGGAUGCAGCAGUGAGGAAUUUUGCGCAAUGGGGGUAACCCUGACGCAGCAACGCCGCGUGAGUGAUGAAGGCUUUCGGGUCGUAAAGCUCUGUCAAGUGGGAAGAAUAUACGAAAUGCUAAUACCAUUUUGUACUGACGGUACCACUGAAGGAAGCACCGGCUAACUCCGUGCCAGCAGCCGCGGUAAUACGGGGGGUGCAAGCGUUAUUCGGAAUUAUUGGGCGUAAAGAGCACGUAGGCGGCCGCUUAAGUCAGAUGUGAAAGCCCGGGGCUCAACCCCGGAAGUGCAUUUGAAACUAAGUGGCUUGAGUAUGGGAGAGGGAAGUGGAAUUCCUGGUGUAGAGGUGAAAUUCGUAGAUAUCAGGGGGAACACCGGUGGCGAAGGCGACUUCCUGGACCAAUACUGACGCUGAGGUGCGAAGGCGUGGGGAGCAAACAGGAUUAGAUACCCCUGUAGUC
rnacentral:rRNA from 1 species